UACGAAGGUGGCAAGCGUUGUUCGGACUUACUGGGCGUACAGGGAGCGUAGGCGGUUGGGUAAGCCCUCCGUGAAAUCUCCGGGCCUAACCCGGAAAGUGCGGAGGGGACUGCUCGGCUAGAGGAUGGGAGAGGAGCGCGGAAUUCCCGGUGUAGCGGUGAAAUGCGUAGAUAUCGGGAGGAAGGCCGGUGGCGAAGGCGGCGCUCUGGAACAUUUCUGACGAUGAGGCUCGAAAGCGUGGGGAGCAAACAGG
rnacentral:rRNA from 1 species